rnacentral:rRNA from 1 species
CACGUAGUUAGCCGGGGCUUCUUAGUCAGGUACCGUCAUUUUCUUUCCUGCUGAUAGAGCUUUACAUACCGAAAUACUUCUUCACUCACGCGGCGUCGCUGCAUCAGGGUUUCCCCCCAUUGUGCAAUAUUCCCCACUGCUGCCUCCCGUAGGAGUUUGGGCCGUGUCUCAGUCCCAAUGUGGCCGUUCACCCUCUCAGGCCGGCUACUGAUCGUCGCCUUGGUGGGCCCCUACCCCGCAACAGCUAAUCAGACGCGGGUCCAUCGUAUACCACCGGAGUUUUUCACACCGGACCAUGCGAUCCUGUGCGCUUAUGCGGUUUUAGCACCUAUUUCUAAGUGUUAUCCCCCUGUAUACGGCAGGUUACCCACGCGUUACUCACCCGUCCGCCACUAACAGAUAAAUCACUAGGUUUCAUUACCUGUCCGUUCGACUUGCAUGUGUUAAGCACGCCGCCAGCGUUCAUCCUGAGCCAGGAUCAAACUCU